AGAGAGAGACAUGCGCGCAUAUCAAUAAGCGGAGGAAAAGAAACUAACAAGGAUUCCCCUAGUAACGGCGAGUGAAGCGGGAAGAGCUCAAACUUGAAAUCUUCAAGGGUUUACCUUUACGAAUUGUAGUUUAAAGAAGUGUUUUCUGCUGAGGUUUUAGGUAAAAGUUCUUUGGAAUAGGACAUCAUAGAGGGUGAGAAUCCCGUAUUUGACCAUUACUUUCAACUUUGUGAUACACUUUCAAAGAGUCGGAUUGUUUGGGAAUGCAGUCCAAAAUGGGUGGUAAAUUUCAUCUAAAGCUAAAUAUAUGGCGAGAGACCGAUAGCGAACAAGUACCGUGAGGGAAAGAUGAAAAGAACUUUGAAAAGAGAGUUAAACAGUACGUGAAAUUGUCAAAAGGGAAGCGUUUGACACCAGUGUUGUUUUUCUGAAAAUCAAUUAAAGAACUGUUUAUGCUAAGCUGUUUAGACUUUAUCAGCUAACUGUUUAGUUUUGAGCUUUUCUUUAAUGCACUUUUCAGUUAACAAGUCAACAUCAAUUUCUUUUGCUGUAAAAAAGCUUGAGGAAGGUGGCUUGAGAUUCGUCUUAAGUGUUUAUAGCCUCUUGCCUAUGCAGUCGGAGAGAUUGAGGUCUGCAGCGUAGAUCCUUCGGGGCUAAAUGCAUUUGUGCUAAGUUAUAGCAUUUUAUAGACAACUUGUUGACUAUGAUUUGUCUUGUAGCUUACUCGCUUAUGUUAUUUUACCUACGCUUAGGAUGUUGAGCGCAUGUCUCUCUCU
rnacentral:rRNA from 1 species